rnacentral:rRNA from 1 species
UACGUAGGGGGCAAGCGUUGUCCGGAUUUAUUGGGCGUAAAGAGCGUGUAGGCGGCCAAGCAGGUCCGCUGUGAAAACUCGAGGCUCAACCUCGAGAGGUCGGUGGAAACCGUUUGGCUAGAGUCCGGAAGAGGAGAGUGGAAUUCCCGGUGUAGCGGUGAAAUGCGCAGAUAUCGGGAGGAACACCAGCGGCGAAGGCGGCACUCUGGGCUGGAACUGACGCUGAGGAGCGAAAGCGUGGGUAGCAAACAGG